rnacentral:tRNA from 1 species
GAGGGUAUAGCUCAGUGGUAGAGAGCACGCCUAGCAUGCAUGAGGUCCCAGGUUCAAUCCCUGGCAUCUCCA